rnacentral:rRNA from 1 species
GCUCAGGACGAACGCUGGCGGCGUGCUUAACACAUGCAAGUCGAGCGGAAAGGCCCUUCGGGGUACUCGAGCGGCGAACGGGUGAGUAACACGUGAGCAACCUGCCCUAGGCUUUGGGAUAACCCCGGGAAACCGGGGCUAAUACCGAAUAUGACUACUGAUCGCAUGGUUGGUGGUGGAAAGUUUUUCGGCCUGGGAUGGGCUCGCGGCCUAUCAGCUUGUUGGUGGGGUGAUGGCCUACCAAGGCGACGACGGGUAGCCGGCCUGAGAGGGCGACCGGCCACACUGGGACUGAGACACGGCCCAGACUCCUACGGGAGGCAGCAGUGGGGAAUAUUGCACAAUGGGCGGAAGCCUGAUGCAGCGACGCCGCGUGAGGGAUGACGGCCUUCGGGUUGUAAACCUCUUUCAGCAGGGACGAAGCGUAAGUGACGGUACCUGCAGAAGAAGCGCCGGCCAACUACGUGCCAGCAGCCGCGGUAAGACGUAGGGCGCGAGCGUUGUCCGGAUUUAUUGGGCGUAAAGAGCUCGUAGGCGGCUUGUCGCGUCGACCGUGAAAACCUGGGGCUCAACUCCAGGCCUGCGGUCGAUACGGGCAGGCUAGAGUUCGGUAGGGGAGACUGGAAUUCCUGGUGUAGCGGUGAAAUGCGCAGAUAUCAGGAGGAACACCGGUGGCGAAGGCGGGUCUCUGGGCCGAUACUGACGCUGAGGAGCGAAAGCGUGGGGAGCGAACAGGAUUAGAUACCCUGGUAGUCCACGCUGUAAACGUUGGGCGCUAGGUGUGGGGGGCCUCUCCGGUUCCCUGUGCCGCAGCUAACGCA